rnacentral:rRNA from 1 species
UUCUUAUCUUUUUAUUUAAUGAUAAGUAAAGCCUGCCCAGUGAAUAUUUAUUUAAACGGUUAUUUAAUAAUAUUAAAGUAGCGUAAUAAAUUAUCAUUUAAUUAAUGAAUAUAAUGAAGGUAUUAUGAAUUAAAUUCUGUCUUUAAAGAAUAAAAUAAAAUUAAUAAUUUAGUGAAAAAUCUUAAUUUUUUUAAAAGACGAUAAGACCCUAUAGAACUUACUUAAAAAUUUUAAGUUUACUGGGGAAGUAAAAAUAUAAAAAAAAUUAUUUUUCAAAUUAUAAACCUAAAGUUUUUAACCAUAUUUAUUUUAUGAAUAAAAAGUUACCUUAGGGAUAACAGCAUUAAUAAUAUAAAAAGUUCUUAUUUUAAUAUUAUUAAUGACCUCGAUGUUGAAUUAAGAUAAAUUUAAAAAGUAGUAAUUUUUUUUAUUAGGUCUGUUCGACCUUUAAAAUCUU